AAACCCAGCCCCGUAACAGCUGCUAUGAAGAAAAUUAACUCUCCUCCAGCCGAACCCAGCACACCCAGAGAAUGAACUGCCUGUAGACCUUGCUUGCUUUUCAACCUCAGCCUUGUAAGGUCAGGUGCUGCUGUGCUCCUUGAGCAUCCAGAUAUCCGGGAAAGUUUGUCAGCCUGCUUUAAAGACCCCUGCUGGAGAUUCUGCUGUGGACAAGUUGGAAAGAACAGCUCAUGCAUUAAGAGUAUGCUUUCGAGAUACUAUGUUUGAAGUCCUUCAGCCUCACCCCAGUGGCAAUUGUUAAAUGUAGCCCCGAGUUCAAUGGCUUUUGAAUCCUCAGUGAAGAAAAAGAUGAGAGAAAUCCACCAUCAUCUGUGAUCAGCUGUGAGAGUGGAGCCAAGGGAGUUUUAACUCUUGAAAUCAAGGAAGAAUGUGUGAGGGUGCCUGAAGAGCUGUGUUCCUUAUUUGAGUCCCAAUGCACAUGAAUUCUCCCCCUUUUACCUCUUCUGUGU